rnacentral:rRNA from 1 species
UACAGAGGGUGCAAACGUUGUUCGGAAUUACUGGCGUAAAGCGCGUGUAGGCGGCUUGGCAGGUCGGAUGUGAAAUCCCAGGGCUCAACCCUGGAAGGGCAUUCGAAACCGCUUCGCUAGAGUUCUGGAGAGGAAGGUGGAAUGCUUGGUGUAGAGGUGAAAUUCGUAGAUAUCAAGCGGAACACCGGUGGCGAAGGCGGCCUUCUGGACAGAAACUGGCGCUGA